UACAGAGGUGCCGAGCGUUAGGCGGAAUCACUGGGCUUAAAGCGUGCGUAGGCGGGCGUCUAAGUGUCUUGUGAAAUCCCACGGCUCAACCGUGGAACUGUUGGGCAUACUGGACGCCUUGAGGCACACAGGGGCGAGCGGAACAAGUGGUGGAGCGGUGAAAUGCGUAGAUAUCACUUGGAACGCCGACGGUGAAAACAGCUCGCUGGGUGUGUUCUGACGCUGAGGCACGAAAGCCAGGGGAGCGAACGGGAUUAGAUACCCCGGUAGUCCUGGCCCUAAACGAUGUCCACUGGGUCGCGGCGGCUCUGACGCCGUCGCGGCCGGAGCAAAAGUGUUAAGUGGACCGCCUGGGAAGUACGGUCGCAAGGCUAAA
rnacentral:rRNA from 1 species